rnacentral:rRNA from 1 species
AUUGAACGCUGGCGGCAGGCCUAACACAUGCAAGUCGAACGGUAACAGGAAGCAGCUUGCUGCUUCGCUGACGAGUGGCGGACGGGUGAGUAAUGUCUGGGAAACUGCCUGAUAGAGGGGGAUAACUACUGGAAACGGUAGCUAAUACCGCAUAACGUCGCAAGACCAAAGAGGGGGACCUUAGGGCCUCUUGCCAUCGGAUGUGCCCAGAUGGGAUUAGCUAGUAGGUGGGGUAACGGCUCACCUAGGCGACGAUCCCUAGCUGGUCUGAGAGGAUGACCAGCCACACUGGAACUGAGACACGGUCCAGACUCCUACGGGAGGCAGCAGUGGGGAAUAUUGCACAAUGGGCGCAAGCCUGAUGCAGCCAUGCCGCGUGUAUGAAGAAGGCCUUCGGGUUGUAAAGUACUUUCAGCGGGGAGGAAGGGAGUAAAGUUAAUACCUUUGCUCAUUGACGUUACCCGCAGAAGAAGCACCGGCUAACUCCGUG